rnacentral:tRNA from 2 species
GGUCCCGUAGCUCAGCAGGAUAGAGCAGCGGUUUCCUAAACCGAAGGUCAGGGGUUCGAAUCCCUUCGGGACCG